UCUGAGAAACCAUCGGGUAAAGAGGUCUCUGCCCCUGUGUGUCCACGUUCCCAUGAUUAAUGGGGGGAAGAGUUCAGGGUGAUGGUCAAGGGCGUGGCCAGAGCCUUCUUUGACCCUCAGCUCUAUCACUUACUACCUUUGAGACCUUGGGGCUAUGACUUAACUUUUGUGGGCCUCAGUUUCCUCAUCUAUGAAAUGGGAGUAAUUAUAGUCCCUACCUCAUGGAGUCAUUUUGAUAAUUAAAUAAGAUAGUGUAUGCCAAGGGCUUAGCACUGGCCUCACCAGAGCUUAUGCUGUAGAAGUGGGAGCAGUUACCAUCAGUGGUGGCGAUCGUGCUAAUGUGUUUCUGCUCUUCAAAGGGGCUUCAGGCGGAGACCCCCCAAAUCUUAGAAGAACUCCUGCUGCGAUGGAGGGUGGAGGAACUGAUGGAGGGGCAAGGGGACACAGCAGCCUGUGAAGGGAGACAGUAGCUCAUUAUGCAUUACUGUUAAGGAUGCUUUCAGAUUUAACUCGGUAUGGUCUAAAUGAGGGGAUUUAAUCUCAUAUGACAAGAAGUUCAGAGAUAAAGCCACUUCACGGUUGGCUAAUUCUACAGCUCAAAAUCUUCAAGCAUCCAAGCAAUGUAAAUGUCUUCAGUCCACCACACUCAAUAGGUCAGUUUUGUCCUCUGUCUGGUUCCUUUCGUCAUCACAGGCUGGUUGUCACAUCCCAAGAUUACCAACAGCUCUGACAAAGUCCAGAGGAAGAUAAGGAGCUGUUUCUUUCUUCUCUAUAUAUUUUUUAAGAAACAAAGAAACCUUUGCCUCCAGAUUUCCCCCCAUGUCCCAUUGGCCACAACUGGGUCAUAUAUUCACUCUAAACUGGUCACUGGGACCACCAUAAGUGGCCCAGAAUCACCAAGGUUCUGCUUCUAGGGCUGAAAGGGGAAACACAGAGAGGACAAGGACCUGGACAAAAUCAGGGUUCUGUUAGCAAGGAAGAAGUUGGAGUGGCUAUUGGGUAGGUUACUAACAGUGUCUGCGUUUAUCAGAUGCCUACUAUGAUUUGAGACACAAAAGUGCUCUCUGGGGCUAUACGUACAUGACAUUGUGUGAAAUGGGCAUGCAGGUAUGUUGUCAAAGUAGACAUUAACCCAUCAUAACUCUACCCUGUACCUUUGGGUUUCUGUGCCAAAAUUUCUGAAUAAGAGCUCUCCCUCAUAACUGUAAAGAAAUAACAACCUCAAAGCGUCAAAUGCUUUGGUCGGAAGAAGAGUACGGGGAGAAAGGGGAUACAUAGCCACCUGAGAUGGCAGACAACUCUCAGAGACUCGCUUUAAAGGCUCGUCCUUUGGUAGAUGGGAACCAAAGCCAGAGACGUGACUGAGGGGAUUUCUUGCCCGUCUCCCAACUGGGCUCCUAACAAGCCUCAUUUUUGCCCAACAUUAAACAUCCCCGCUGGUCUGACUGUUCUCCAGUUACAACUUCCGGGAACCUAUUUCAGGAGCUAAGUUAUUUCUGGAAAGAGCAACAACCUCAGGGAAAGGAAGUGAUGCCCGGUACCUGAUGCUUCGGAGCCUUGGCGACCCCGCUGGUCUCCCAGGGCACAUGGAUCCUGCAGAAAGCAAACUCUAAUUGCCCUGCAUUCAGGGGCUGCCCCUCUGCAAGUAAGGUCAAAAGAUUCUGUUCUUCUGAUCCCAAAUCAGAGGACUUUAAUUUUCGCUAAAAGUAAAUUGCUGGGGGUUGAGGUCGUUCAGGUAAUAUCGUUAUGAGCCCAGGGGUGCUGAGAUGCCCUGAGAGGGUCUCUCUGCUGUCUUGAGGAGAGUCACGUCAUGGAGAGAGACCCAACAAGCAUUCCCUCUCUUGCGGGUUGAUGGGAGGGUUCCUAGAAUUGAAGUUUUUCCCACGAGACCACAAAUUGUCCACAGGUACGUAACAGGUAUGUGCUGCUCUUCAAGUUUGGGGUACAAAUGUAAUUGCAUCUCUUUUUUGCUCUCAUUUAAAUCACCAAAGACCCUCACUAGUGUAGAGGAGGAAGAACUUUUCCUCUACCCUUUAGGUCCUUCUGGCUGGUCCAAGCAUCAAAUUGACAUCAGACAGAAUAACAGGAGAAAAUCAAACACAGUUUAAUAACAUGUAUACAUGGGAGAAAGCCAAGAAAACUGAGUAACUUGCCAAAAUGACCAAAGCCACCACCUUAAAUACCCAUUUUCAGCUAAAGACAAAGCAGGAUGUUGGGGGGCUGUGGUUUGGGACUUCAAAGGGGAGGAAGGGAAUUCACAUGGAAAUGGAAAAGCAAAUGUUAGUUAAACAAAUGUUUGCUGGGUUAUCUGUAGACAAUGUGACCCAAGAGAGAGAAAUUUGAUAAAAAUGGGCUUAGGGAGGACCCUCCCGGUCUACCACACCCAGAGUUAUCUAUGACGAUGGACUGUCCUGAGACAGGCCUUCUAUCUUAAAUUCUUUUAGGCAGUUAAGAAGGAAGGUCAAAUUUUCUCUCAGAGUUUUUGGUUCUUAAAAAUAAUAAAGCCAAAGAGACACAUUUUGGGGUGGCAAAUUCUGAUCCCCCACAAUAAGGAGCAGAAAGACCUCUAAAAAAAGAACAGCAGCUCUAGCUAUCGAACUUUCCAGACACAGUAUCCAAAAUGGUGGUUACGUCCCCACUAUCCAGUCUACCCAAAAGAAUGGUCCAAACCACUUGUGGUAACCCAUCUUUCCCGGCCAGUGGGCAGCUUAGCAACAUACGUGAAAUCAACAAGCGACCCAGCCCUGGCCACCCAGAUGUCAGAGGAAGCUGGAGGGCUCCUGCGAAAGACGCUUUCUGUCCUGAAAAAGAGUAUUUCGCAAUUUCCAGGGACAAAUUCUCUCUCUCAGCUGUCUCUCGUUCCUAGUGGCCUCCCUGGCACCAUAUUCCUGAGUGUUAGUCACUCUUCCCUUCCUGGUGGGGAAGAGAAUGCAUCUGGCAUAGAAAAACACCAGCUCUGAGUUUGUGGACAUUUCUCUUUGAACGUGUUGAGCAAUAAAAACUACCAAUACACUAUCUGG
rnacentral:lncRNA from 1 species